rnacentral:lncRNA from 1 species
AAUUACUAAUUAUAUAACCAUUUUGAUAGUAUUUCUUACAAAUAAUUUUAUUACGCUUCAUAAUAAAAAAGGAAAAAAAAAUCUAUUUCUUCUGUUUUCGCACAUAAAAAUAUAGUAUAAGAAUUAAAGAAUAAGCAGAAUCCAUUUUCUAUUUUAACUAUUUUUAUUCAAGUAUUAGAACAAUAAGAUAGGUCCUUGUAUUAUAUUUUGAAGUUUUAUAAGAUCAUAUGUAAGAUAUUUGUCGAGAAUAAGUGUUUAAUUAGUAUAUUCACUUGAAAACAGAAUUUAUUGAACUAUUCGAUAAAGUUUAGGAUGUUAAAUUU